UUGUACAAAAUGAAUCAUCGUCAUCAUCACUCAUCAGUUAUUUCUUCAAGAUACACUUCCAGUAUUCACGAAUCACAACACACUAACACAGGUUUUGUUGACAAAAUGUAAAUAAUUCAAAUAGAUUUCCAUAGAUGUCUUGACUAACCAUAACAACAUAACAGAUUGCAGAUAAGCUGAUUCAGGAAUUGGCUUACAGUCGAAUGAUAGAAUACAUUUAAGAAGGAUGAACUUUCUUUGAAUUAGAGGAAACCACCUUCAUCGCCGAUCUCAUCGACGACGUUGCGGAAUUUAACGCCGCCUCAAUAUACU
rnacentral:lncRNA from 1 species